rnacentral:lncRNA from 1 species
UCUUGUCAAAUUGCAAAAUGUCAUUGUAUUCCAUGGUAACGAUGUGUCUGAUUUCCGCGGAACAUUCAGGCAACUUCUGAGAUGAGAAGCUACAUAGUGCACAUGGGCCUUCACAUAGACACAUAGUUACAAGCAAAAAUACAAGAACUAGAGGCAAACUGUCUUGUAGUAGACAAUCAGGAAGUCGCCAUACGUCCGAAGGAUGAACACACCAUAGUCGAACCAUCACCGAUGCAGACAGUCCUAUACUAGACUUGUAACAUGAAAUCUAUAACGACAUGAACAAAGACAAAUGAAAACAAGAUCCCAAAACCAAAUCCCACGAGAUCCGACUGGCACACACCUCCUCAUGCUUUCCAACGAUGCUAGAUGCACACCAAGACAAGAAUGAGAUGUGGAAUACAUUAUUACAA